GAGUCAAAGGACGCGCCCUGAUAGGGAGGACGUGUCCUUCCCAAUUCCCGUCUUCAUCCCUGUUUACUGGACAAGAGACUGCACUCCCCGGGUUAUGUCCGGAGGAGGGCGCGUCCUCCCCUCUACAUGGUGUACAAAAACGGCUACAACACCUCGGAAGAGUCGUCGUAUCCCCCGGAGGGGUCGUCAUAUCCCCCGGAGGGGUAGGUCUUCCUAUCCCCGGAGGGGCGGUCUUCGUCUCCCUCGGAAGGGUUGUCUCAGCGAAUGUACGCUCUCCCAUAGGAAGAGCCUUCUCACAAUAUGUGUUUACAUGUGGGAGCGACCCCUGAGGGCGCGCCCUUGCCUUCGCCGUCUCGUCCCAUCGACCACUCCAACAACACAUCAGACAGGUCCUUCUUUAACAUGAGGUCGCGCCCCCGGGUAGGCGAGGACACCCCGUUAAAGGCACGCCCUUGGUCUUCAUCUCAUGGUCAACUUCUUACAAGGGACGCGCCCCCUCGGUCACCUCCGAAGAGGGCGCGCCCUCCUCCAUAGAUUACACGACGUGGGUGGACGGAGGUCGGUCGCGUCUCUCCAUCAACACUCUCAAGUAAGGCGUCCCUCCUUGUGACUCGGAAGACGCGUCCUCUUCACGCAACAUCAAGGGUCGGUCGCGUCCUCCCUUUAUAAGCAGGAGGACGCGUCCUCUUCAUGGGACACGUGUGACCUGGAGGACGCAUCCCUCCUUCCGAUGCGGAGGACGCGUCCUCUUCAUUAAGAUACGCAACAUCGGCGGAUCAGUCACGUCACGGAGGGCUGCGCCCUUUCGUUCAGACUAGUCUCUUCAAGGGUCGGUCGCGUCAUUCCUUUGUAACUCGGAGGACGCGUCCCGAUACCUCAUAUAGGACUCUUAGCCCAAUUCAUGUGUUACUAAGUACAUAUCCGGCCCAACAAGGACCUAGCCAAAUUUGGCUAUAACAAGUACUCCCCAAGUUUUCUUGAUAUUGGAGAUAUCAGGGAAAUUUUUACUCCAUACCACACAUCCUCUUCCGAGAGCGCGUCCGUGCAUAGAGGCGCGACGUAAGCCACUUCUAUUCCUCGAUAUUCCAAGAUGUAGGUUGUGCACAAGCCUUGCAUGUAUACAAUGUCGAUGUCUUUGCUCAUUUUGCAAAGUGGAUAAGCAUGAGGCUAGCGCAUCUUUAUGAUGUGUUCAUAAGUAAUGAGCAACCUUUGUGUAGAUAAAAGGAAACAGGGGGCGCGGCCUAUCUGUCGUUGACAGUGGCGCAUCUUCGCUUAUUCCUUCCAAAGGGCACAUUUAACCAUAACAUUCGCGCUAAUGAACUUCAACAAAAGAAGGGCGCGCCUUCGCUGUGCGAAGGUUUAUGGCUAUUUUUCAGCCUUACUGUGUCCAUGGUACCUAGGAAUAGUAUAAGGCGCGACUUACGGAAUGGCGCCACCUUGUUAUAACAUGACCCCUUUUUUUAUCUUCUUAAAGAAUUGCCUAAGUAGAGGGCGCGGCUGAUGGCACUGCCUUGCAAUAUAUCUUUUCUUUCAAGGACUAUAUAAGCAGAGGGCGCAGCCUUACUUGUAAUGUGGGCUCUUUUGAUCUUUUCCAAGGAUUAAGUAGAGGGCGCGGCCUUUGGCGCAACCUUACUUUUUCACGCGUGAAUCACUUGCUUAAGAAAAUCAAGAGGACCACUCCCCAGUCCAUACAUCUUCCCAUAUGGGGCAUCACGAAUCUUAUCGUGGUUUACAUAACUCCGGUGCAUCGCACAGGUCCCAGAGCUCAUAGCUCAAUGGGGAAUUAAUAGUAUAAAAUGUUAUCCAGAGCAUAUCAUGGAUAUGUAAGAUCCAGAGUGUAUCAUGGAUGCGCAACUACAGUAUCCAGAGCGUAUCAUGGAUAUGUAAAUAAUUAUAGCAUCCAGAGUAGAUCGUGGAUGACAUCCAGAGCGUAUCAUGGAUGCGCUAGUAUCCAGAGCGUAUCAUGGAUAAUUAGGUAACCUCUGAAAGGCCUUAAGUGUAUCAUGAUCAAAGACCUCGCAGGUAUCAUGCUACGUUCCUGUAGAACGGAGGGCGCGCCCUCAUCAAGAUGGACAGCUCCUUUAGCAUGUUGGACUUGCCCUGCGCUUUAUCAUGUAUAUGACUUAAUACUGAUGGUCAGUGUUACCUCAUGACGUGCCCUGUUAGGGGAAGGCGCGUCCUCCCAAAUUAUCAACCCUGGAAACAUGACUUUGGAACUCGGGGUGCGUCCAACUAGGAGGAGGCGCGUCUUUGAAGCAUCUCCCUUCUCAACCUUAUUAUCCUGGGGGCGCGCCCUCAUGCGCUUCCUCAAGUGAUGAGUACUUCCGAGAGGGCGCGCCCUAGGGAGGGACGUGACCUCUUCAAGACUAGUGAGCUCCUUCCUGAGUAUGUUUGUCUUCACAAAAUAUCAUAUGAAGCAAUUAAUGCAUCAGACAUACCAGAGGGCGCGCCCUGUCAGAGGGAGGCGCGCAAUUCGUUCUCUUGAUAGAAUACUGGUUGGAUAUGGCGUACCCCUUUAGGAGGGCGCGCCUUGUUGGAGGAAAGUGCGACUACUCCUCACGGAGAAGAGGUGUAUUCCUCAUAAAGGUAACACCAUAUUACCUGUGAAUUUAUACAUGUAGUAGUCUUAGGGAACCAAAUAUUGAGGGAGUUUAGUAUUUACCUGAGGGCGCGCCCGGUCAGGGGAAGGCGCGCACCCUUACGACUUUUCGAGCUAGGUUCCAUCUGAAUAGCUCGCCCCCCGUAACUUUCCCUAGAGGCGCGCCCUGGCAAGGGAAGGCGCGACUUCUUCGAAAAUGUUAAAGGGUGCAUCCCUCAUGGUGGUGGUCGAACACCACGUUACCUGUAGUUUUCAACGUGCCAUACUUCUAGAGAAUGCAGUAACGAGGAGGUUUAGAGUAGAGUUUACCUGGAGGCGCGCCCUGUUAGGGGGAGGCGCGCUCUUUGAAACUUUUCAAGCUUCGCUCCAUUUGAAUAACUCUCCGCUCGUAACUUUCCCUUUCAUAUCAUUAUCUGCGGUCAGGUCUUCAACACGUGCCUCUCGUGAACCUCAAAUUACUUGCUCUGGGGAGGGCGCGCCCCUUCAGAAAACCGUUGAGGCUUCCAGGGAGGCGAUCUCCUUCUCGUAAAGACUCAAACCACAACAGACUUGUUAGCAAUAACAUGCGAAAGCAUUGUGAGAAUCUUACCCGGAGGUGCGCCUUCUUCGGAGAUGUCAGGGAAUUCAUUCCUCACGGUGGUAGUCGAGCACCACAUCAUUUGGAGGUGUACCCUGUCCGGGGGGAGGUGUACUCUGUCCGGGGGAGGUAUACCUUGUCCGGGGGAGGUGUACUCUGUCCGGGGGAGGUGUACUCUCUUCGUAGGUGUUAGGUCUCCGAAAAUCGCAUCCUUCGCUGACUCCCCGGUCCAGAAUACCUUGUUCGCAUAUUAGGUUACCUCCUAGAAUUUCGUUGAUGAUCGUCCUCCUUCAAACUCCCGAUGGAGAUAUCGUCCUUUUCUGGAGAAGUAGAUGAAGGUCUCCUCUUCUCUUGUGUUCUAGCCAUCGCCCUCCCGGAAAAUGCUCCGCCUCUACGUGCGAAUCUCCGUCAUGUGACAUCUCUUCCUCCUAAGAUGAAGAUCUUGAAUAGCCCCUCCUUCUAGCGCCAAUUUGUUGAUAGAGGAAUUUGGUAAUCAACAAAGAUGAGGUUCAUGGCCGGAAUCAAGAUCCGUGACGGUGGUUUUGGUCGCCGGAGAGUGGUGGUUGUUUGUUUUAGGGGGUGGCUGAGAUUAGGGUUUUGAGUUGGUCUCACGUGCUCUCAACUCAUGAUCCCCCAAUGUGCCUACGUACCCCUAUAUUUAUAGGGGAUCAAGCCAUACGUAGUUCUAUUGAACCAGGAGUCCUAGUUUGAUCAGGACUAGGCCUCUUGGCAAUAAGGUCGGAGAUAGGCCGAAGGCCCAUCUUGGAGAAUCCUACUCCUGUUAGAAUUAGUCUUGAGUAUGACUACCUCAGACUCCUAAUCCAAAUAGAUCACGGAUUCAACGAUAUCUCCACUACGAGAGAUAGCAUCUACCACGACUCUUAUGGAGAAGUUAUCUGGGGGAGCCAUGACUAACCCCUCGAGGUGCAGGGACACGUCCUCACCUCUCGGUGAGGUCUUCAUCUUCAAACAAGGUAGACAAGGAGCCAAAUUACACGAUCGUCUCAAUCCCCCGAUGAGGGCUAACUCACCAGAAUACAGGAUCCAGACAUAUGAUCGGCCUUCGUGUUACCCCGGAGGGCCUUCAAGAGCCAUGAUCACCUCAAGCCCCCACACGAGGGUUAACUCGGCAGAUAGCAGGAUUGAGGAUUGUAGAUCAUGCCCGGAUGAGCCCGGGAACUAUCAGAUGAGCCUGAUAACUACCAAAUGAGCUUGGUAACUAGUCUUCAUAUCCCUCGGAAGGGUCGUCACGGAGACUCACUCAUCCUCUCUCUUUCAUCAUGUAUUUCAUAACUAUGCCUCUUCUGAGUCAAAGGACGCGCCCUGAUAGGGAGGACGUGUCCUUCCCAAUUCCCGUCUUCAUCCCUGUUUACUGGACAAGAGACCGCACCUCCCGGGCCAUGUCUGGGGAGGGCGCGUCCUUCCCUUAUCUUGUCUUCAAUCCUCCUUACUGGACAAGAGACCGCACCUCCCGGGCCAUGUCUGGGGAGGGCGCGUCCUCCCCUCCACAUGAUAUACAAAAACGGCUACAACACCUCGGAAGAGUCGUCGUAUCCCCCGGAGGGGUCGUCAUAUCCCCCCGGGGGGGUAGGUCUUCCUAUCCCCGGAGGGACGGUCUUCGUCUCCCUCGGAAGGGUUGUCUCAGCGAAUGUACACUCUCCCAUAAGAAGAGCCUUCUUACAACACAUCAGACAGGUCCUUCUUUAACAUGAGGUCGCGCCCCCGGGGAGGCGAGGACACCCCGUUAAAGGCACGCCCUUGGUCUUCAUCUCAUUGUCAACUUCUUACAAGGGACGCGCCCCUCGGUCACCUCCGAAGAGGGCGCGCCCUCCUCCAUAGAUUACACGACGUGGGUGGACGGAGGUCGGUCGCGUCUCUCCAUCAACACUCUCAAGUAAGGCGUCCCUCCUUGUGACUCGGAGGACGCGUCCUCUUCACGCAACACCAAUGGUCGGUCGCAUCCUCCCUUUAUAAGCAGGAGGACGCCUCCUCUUCACGCAACACCAAGGGUCGAUCGCAUCCUCCCUUUAUAAGCAGGAGGACGCGUCCUCUUCAUGGGACACGUGUGACCUGGAGGACGCAUCCCUCCUUCCGAUGCGGAGGACGCGUCCUCUUCAUUAAGAUACGCAACAUCGGCGGAUCAGUCACGUCACGGAGGGCUGCGCCCUUUCGUUCAGACUAGUCUCUUCAAGGGUCGGUCGCGUCAUUCCUUUGUAACUCGGAGGACGCGUCCCGAUACCUCAUAUAGGACUCUUAGCCCAAUUCAUGUGUUACUAAGUACAUAUCCGGCCCAACAAGGACCUAGCCAAAUUUGGCUAUAAC
rnacentral:lncRNA from 1 species